UAAAGCAAGAAAGGGCGUAUGGGGAAUGCCUAGGCACACUCCGGCGAAGAAGGACGCAGCAAACAGCGAAAUGCGACGGUGAGCGGUAAGCACGUGAAGAGCCGUCGAUAUCCGAAUGGGGGAACCCACACGGAGUCAUAUCCGUGUAUCACAUGUCGAAUACAUAGACAUGAUGAGGCGAGACGCAGGGAACUGAAACAUCUAAGUACCUGCAGGAAGAGAAAAUAAGAAUGAUUUUCUGAGUAGCGGCGAGCGAAAGGGAAAGAGCCCAAACCGAUCUGAGGAUCGGGGUAGUAGGAUCAUCGAUAAAUCAAACAGAGGAUCAUAGAGGAAUCACAUGGGAAGGUGAGCGAGAGAGGGUGAGAGCCCCGUACUCGAAAUGAGAGACUGGAGAGAGAUGACACCUGAGUAGGGCGGGACACGAGAAAUCCUGUCUGAAUCAGCCGGGACCAUCCGGCAAGGCUAAAUACGAGAGAGUGACCGAUAGUGAACCAGUACCGUGAGGGAAAGGUGAAAAGAACCCCGGGAGGGGAGUGAAAGAGAACCUGAAACCAUAUGCCUACAAGAAGUCAGAGCCCGUUAAAGGGUGAUGGCGUGCCUUUUGUAGAAUGAACCGGCGAGUUACUGUAUGGAGCGAGGUUAAGCAGGAUAUGCGGAGCCGAAGCGAAAGCGAGUCUUAAGAGGGCGCGAGUUGCAUGCAGUAGACCCGAAACCGGGUGAUCUAGCCAUGACCAGGUUGAAGUUGGGGUAAAACCCGAUGGAGGACCGAACCGACCCCCGUUGAAACGUUGGCGGAUGAGUUGUGGCUAGGGGUGAAAUUCCAAUCGAACCCGGAGAUAGCUGGUUCUCCCCGAAAUAGCUUUAGGGCUAGCGUCGAGAGAAGAGUUGCGUGAAGGUAGAGCACUGAAUAUGUGAUGGCCCCAUCUCGGGGUACUGAGCAUAAUCAAACUGCGAAUGUCACGCCAACAUGCUCGGCAGUCAGACAGCGGGUGAUAAGGUCCGUUGUCAAGAGGGAAACAGCCCAGACCAUCAGCUAAGGUCCCAAAAUGUAUGCUAAGUGGAAAAGGAUGUGGAGAUGUACAGACAACUAGGAGGUUGGCUCAGAAGCAGCCAUCCUUUAAAGAGUGCGUAACAGCUCACUAGUCGAAUGACUCUGCGCCGAUAAUUUACCGGGGCUAAGCAUACUACCGAAGCUAUGGAUCCCAAGGGAUGGUAGGGGAGCGUUCCAUGAACGGAGAAGUACGACCGAAAGGACGUGUGGAGAUCAUGGAAGAGAGAAUGCCGGUGUGAGUAGCGGAACGUGGGUGAGAAUCCCACGCACCGAAAACCCAAGGUUUCCAGAGGAAGGUUCGUCCGCUCUGGGUAAGUCGGGACCUAAGGCGAGGCCGAAAGGCGUAGUCGAUGGACAACAGGUAGAGAUUCCUGUACCCGUAUAUAUGUGAAGGAAUGACGGAGAGAGGAAGCUGCAGCCAGCGGCUGGAAGAGCUGGUGCAAGCGAGAUAUCGGGAUGGCAGGCAAAUCCACCAUCCGAAACGAGAAGGCGUGAAGCGUACGGAAAGCUACGGCGAGUACGGAAGGCAGUGGAGGAACUUCCAAGAAAAGUUUCUAACGUUAAGUAUAUAUGGCCCGUACCGAAAAUGGACACACAUGGGUGAGGAGAGAAUCCUAAGGUGAGCGAGAGAACUAUAGCUAAGGAACUCUGCAAAAUGACUCCGUAACUUAGGGAGAAGGAGUGCUCAUAGAGAUAUGAGCCGCAGUGAAACGGCCCAAGCGACUGUUUACCAAAAACACAGCUCUCUGCUAAGCCGCAAGGCGAAGUAUAGGGGGUGACGCCUGCCCGGUGCUGGAAGGUUAAGGGGAGGGGUUAACGCAAGUGAAGCCCUGAACUGAAGCCCCAGUAAACGGCGGCCGUAACUAUAACGGUCCUAAGGUAGCGAAAUUCCUUGUCAGGUAAGUUCUGACCCGCACGAAUGG
rnacentral:rRNA from 1 species